GAGCACGUAGGUGGGUUUGUAAGUCAGAUGUGAAAGCCUUCUGUUCAACGGAAGAAUUGCAUCUGAAACUACAAACCUUGAGUAUAGGAGGGGAGAAUGGAACUUCUGGUGGAGCGGUGAAAUGCGUAGAUAUCAGAAGGAACGCCGGCGGCGAAAGCGAUUCUCUGGCCUAUUACUGACACUCAGUGUGCGAAAGCUAGGGGAGCAAACGGGAUUAGAUACCCCGGUAGUCCUAGCCGUAAACGAUGGGCACUAAGUAGAGGGG
rnacentral:rRNA from 1 species